UACGGGGGGAGCAAGCGUUGUUCGGAUUUACUGGGCGUGAAGGGCGCGUAGGCGGCCACCGCAAGUCGACUGUGAAAUCUCCGGGCUUAACCCGGAAAGGUCAGCCGAUACUGCGGGGCUAGAGUGCAGAAGGGGCAACUGGAAUUCUCGGUGUAGCGGUGAAAUGCGUAGAUAUCGACUGGAAUGCCGAUGGUGAAGACGGCCCGCUGGGCUUGUCCUGACGCUCAGGCACGAAAGCGUGGGGAUCAAACAGG
rnacentral:rRNA from 1 species